AUAAGAAUCACCUGGGGAUCUUGUUAAAAUGUAGACUCUUUCAGAAUGAGAACCUGAGAGUCCACAUUUCUAACAAGUUCCCAAGUGAUGCUGCA
rnacentral:pre_miRNA from 1 species